AGGGUGCUUCGUUUGAGACGACUAUUUUUUUUUUUUCGCUCCAUAGACGAAAUAUCACUCUAAACAUAUAAAAAAAAAAUUCCCACCAAAGCCUAGCUCUUAAUUUUAAUUUCAAGUACUCGAUAAAUGAAUUUGAAAUUUUCCCAUUUAAUUAACACGUAGAAAUAAUUUUUUUUUUUUUCAAUUAUCUAUAGCAUCGCGAGUUUUCAUACUAUUUAAUUGAUCAUGGCCGGAAGUUUUAGAGGGAUCCUUCCUCUUUAAAAGAGAUCUGAAGAGCACA